rnacentral:rRNA from 1 species
AAACUAACCAGGAUUCCCCUAGUAACGGCGAGCGAACCGGGAAGAGCCCAACGUGAGAAUCUCCAGCUUUCAGCUGGCGAAUUGUAGUCUAUAGAAGCCGUCUUUGUGUCGCCUCGGGUCCAAGUUCCCUGGAAAGGGACGUCGGAGAGGGUGAGAACCCCGUGGGCCCCGAGUGUCGUCACCCCACGAGACGCUCUCGCAGAGUCGGGUUGUUUGGGAAUGCAGCCCCAAGCAGGUGGUAAAUCCCAUCUAAGGCUAAAUAUCGACGGGAGACCGAUAGCGAACAAGUACCGCGAGGGAAAGAUGAAAAGAACUUUGAAAAGAGAGUCAAAAAGUGCUUGAAAUUGUUGAGAGGGAAGCGAUUGGAAGCCGCGGGUGGGCCCUGGUGCUGGUGUCCGGCGCGAGCCGGGCGCUGCCCACGCAGGGCCCUGGUCAGCAUGGGUUGGGCGGGAGGGAAAACCCCUGGGCUCGACCCCCAGGCCACGCCUCCUGCCCGACCGAGGAAUCAAGGGCGCCGCCGCUCCGGCGGUGGUUUUCCGAACACUGCGCCCUGAGGAUGCUGGCAGAAGGUGUCUAAUCGG